rnacentral:lncRNA from 1 species
AAAGGAAUUGCUUACGUUUUCUCUUCAGCAGUCACAGCAGAGGCUGGCUUGGUUAUACAUGUCUUCACUUUAUGCUAUUUUACAAUGACGUCAUUGCUACAGUCUAGAUGUGGAAGGUCUCCCACAGGCUUUCAAUACUUGCUCGUGGUGCUCUUGAGAAAUGCACUCACUCUAUGGGCCUUCCCGUGACUGUUAGAAACGACACAGAAGACACUGGCAGAAAUGGAAGUAUCAGGAUGGCCUCUUCCCAUGGUAAAUCUAGGUCCCCAUGUGAGCGUCUCUG